AAUUUUAGUUAUAUUAGUUAAAUAGCUAAUAACCCAAAAAAGUCAACAUUUUGGUUGGAAAAAAGCAAAUCAAAUAAUUUAUUUUUCAUAAAGAAAUAUAAAAAAUAUAGGUAAAAAAAAAAUAAAGAAUACAUUCUAGUUACUUGAGAUGAUAAUAUCAAUACUUUUCUUAAACCAAAUACAAAAACAAAACCAAUAAUGUUAUCAUAUAUAAUUUUAAAUAAAAAGAUAACUAGAAAUAAAAGAAAAA
rnacentral:lncRNA from 1 species